rnacentral:rRNA from 1 species
UACGUAGGGGGCAAGCGUUGUCCGGAAUCAUUGGGCGUAAAGAGCUCGUAGGCGGUCUGUCACGUCAGCUGUGAAAACCCGGGGCUCAACCCCGGGCCUGCAGUCGAUACGGGCAGACUAGAGUGCGGUAGGGGAGACUGGAAUUCCUGGUGUAGCGGUGAAAUGCGCAGAUAUCAGGAGGAACACCGGUGGCGAAGGCGGGUCUCUGGGCCGUAACUGACGCUGAGGAGCGAAAGCGUGGGGAGCGAACAGG